rnacentral:rRNA from 1 species
AACGAACGCUGGCGGCAUGCCUAACACAUGCAAGUCGAACGAGACCUUCGGGUCUAGUGGCGCACGGGUGCGUAACGCGUGGGAACCUGCCCUUAGGUUCGGCAUAACUCCCCGAAAGGGGUGCUAAUACCGGAUAAUGUCUUCGGACCAAAGAUUUAUCGCCUUUGGAUGGGCCCGCGUUGGAUUAGCUAGUUGGUAGGGUAAAAGCCUACCAAGGCGUCGAUCCAUAGCUGGUCUGAGAGGCUGAUCAGCCACACUGGGACUGAGACACGGCCCAGACUCCUACGGGAGGCAGCAGUGGGGAAUAUUGGACAAUGGGCGAAAGCCUGAUCCAGCAAUGCCGCGUGAGUGAUGAAGGCCUUAGGGUUGUAAAGCUCUUUUACCCGGGAUGAUAAUGACAGUACCGGGAGAAUAAGCUCCGGCUAACUCCGUG